GAUUAACCGGUCUUCGUCCGCUAAUGAUCUCUAGAAGGAGAAUACCAAAUGCAUAGAUGUCAGUUUUCUCAUCUACGGUUCCUUGCAUCAAGGAUUCAGGUGCUAGAUAACCGAACGUUCCUUCAACCGGUAUAACCGCAUGGUCCAAGUAAAACGUUGGAAGAUUUGAUAUCACGGUGAAUGAUUCGAUGGCUGCAGCGUGUGUGAAGAUAAUGAAGCCCUCGAGCAACUCCAAUCGCAAUCUUGUACCGUAUAGGCCAAUCUAACAACCCGUUAUCUUUAUCUGUUCCGAUUUUAUUUCCAGCAUUCCAAAACCAAAUCUAUUGUUAAAACUGUGUAUUGUCUUUAUAACAGGAUUGUAAUAUAACGAAAACAUCAGAGUCAUAAGUUAGGUUACCGUGUAACGCGGAGUACAAGUUUCCGUUCUCAGAGAAUCUGAAGACAAGAUAGAGACCUUUCUCAACACAACAACCUAAGAGGUGAGCUGUGUUGGGAUGAGAGACAUGACUUAUGAUGCCUAAUUCCGCGAAGCGGAGCUGGAAGAAACCAUUGAACCGUUGAAACUUGAAGCAUCAUCACCUGAAGAGCUAAUUGAAUCUCUCGAUAGAGUGUUUAAUAUGCUGCGCGGUGAAUACUUCUCACUCUUUAUGUCUAUAGAAAGAACAUCUUUGUUUGUUAGUUGAAUCCGCUAAUAAAUCUUAGUAGCAAACAUAAAUGGAAUAUUCUUAUGAUCUAA